UACGUAGGUGGCAAGCGUUGUUCGGAAUUAUUGGGCGUAAAGGGCGCGUAGGCGGUUUGUUAAGUCAGCUGUGAAAGCCCGGGGCUCAACCCCGGAGAGUCGGCUGAUACUGGCAAACUUGAGUACGGAAGAGGUAGCUGGAAUUCCCGGUGUAGCGGUGAAAUGCGCAGAUAUCGGGAGGAACACCGGUGGCGAAGGCGGUUCUCUGGGACGGUACUGACGCUGAGACGCGAAAGCGUGGGGAGCGAACAGG
rnacentral:rRNA from 1 species